AUAUCCCUACGGGGCGCAGCAGUGAGGAAUAUUGGUCAAUGGGCGGGAGCCUGAACCAGCCACGUCGCGUGAAGGAAGAAGGUACUUAGUAUUGUAAACUUCUUUUGUCGGGGAACAAAGGCGGAGACGCGUCUCCGGAUGAGUGUACCCGAAGAAAAAGCAUCGGCUAACUCCGUGCCAGCAGCCGCGGUAAUACGGAGGAUGCGAGCGUUAUCCGGAUUUAUUGGGUUUAAAGGGUGCGCAGGCGGGAGAUCAAGUCAGCGGGAAAUUCUCGGGGCUCAACCCCGG
rnacentral:rRNA from 1 species